AAACAAAUACUCUCCUCUCCUCUCUUUAAAAACAGAGCACGUCCUCUGCAAAUGGAAAAACAGGAGGGAGACCAUUUGUUUUGUCCCAUUUUCUUCAUUUUCUCUUCAUUUCUUCAAGCUAAAUAAAAAAUGAGUGUUCUUAGGAGGAUUAUAUCCAAGAAAACAAAUUAAGUGACAACUUAGAGAGCUAUAGAGCUUGAGAGAAACAAAGGGAAGAAGCUGGAAAUUGGAAGACGAGGACAUGAUUUUUGUAAAUUUUUGCAAGAAUUCAUUUAAAUAAGUUAAAGUAGCAAAGGGCAGGAACUUCGGCAGCCAUAUUUUGACUUUCCACCGUUGGAUUAGAUUGAUGUUUGGAUAUGUUAUUAUACUCAAUGUCACCUACAUUCUGACCAGAGGGAUUGUAAAUAGCAAACUUUGUUUGAGGGUUGUCACUGGAGGAACAUUUCUGGAAAAUCACCCUUCAAGACAGCCUUGUUCGUCGGACGUUAUAUCAUUGUUUCACCGUUGGAUUGAUCUGGAUUUUGGAUAUGUUGUUCAUAUCGAUGUUAUAUAAAUUCUGAACGGUUAAGAUCGGAAACAAACACGUCUACCAGAAAUUGUACGUCCCGAACAGUAGGUCUCCAAUUUUCAGGAGAAGCAUUCACUCGACUUCUCAAGAGCUCGUAUAGUAGGAGUUUAAGGAGGGAUUGCAGGAGGGACACAACAACAACAAGGAAGAGCGAGUUGAGCUUCUGCAGGUGGUCCUUCAGAUUCACGCCAGGAGUAGCGUUUUAGGUCCUCUAGUCUCCUUUUGUAUGAUUGAAUAAGAAGAUGAACAUUAAUGUAUUUUGUCUUUAAGGAACUAAAUGACUUAAUAUGUAAUAGUACUCCUUUUACAUUAA